ACGAACGCUGGCGGCACGCUUAACACAUGCAAGUCGAACGAGAGAAGAGAAGCUUGCUUUUCUGAUCUAGUGGCGGACGGGUGAGUAACACGUGAGCAAUCUGCCUUUCAGAGGGGGAUACCGAUUGGAAACGAUCGUUAAUACCGCAUAACAUAAUUGAACCGCAUGAUUUGAUUAUCAAAGAUUUAUCGCUGAAAGAUGAGCUCGCGUCUGAUUAGCUAGUUGGUAAGGUAACGGCUUACCAAGGCGACGAUCAGUAGCCGGACUGAGAGGUUGAUCGGCCACAUUGGGACUGAGACACGGCCCAGACUCCUACGGGAGGCAGCAGUGGGGAAUAUUGCACAAUGGAGGAAACUCUGAUGCAGCGAUGCCGCGUGAGGGAAGAAGGUUUUAGGAUUGUAAACCUCUGUCUUCAGGGACGAAAAAAGACGGUACCUGAGGAGGAAGCUCCGGCUAACUACGUGCCAGCAGCCGCGGUAAUACGUAGGGAGCGAGCGUUGUCCGGAAUUACUGGGUGUAAAGGGAGCGUAGGCGGGAUCGCAAGUCAGAUGUGAAAACUAUGGGCUUAACCCAUAAACUGCAUUUGAAACUGUGGUUCUUGAGUGAAGUAGAGGUAAGCGGAAUUCCUAGUGUAGCGGUGAAAUGCGUAGAUAUUAGGAGGAACAUCAGUGGCGAAGGCGGCUUACUGGGCUUUAACUGACGCUGAGGCUCGAAAGCGUGGGGAGCAAACAGGAUUAGAUACCCUGGUAGUCCACGCCGUAAACGAUGAUUACUAGGUGUGGGGGGACUGACCCCUUCCGUGCCGCAGCAAACGCAAUAAGUAAUCCACCUGGGGAGUACGACCGCAAGGUUGAAACUCAAAGGAAUUGACGGGGGCCCGCACAAGCAGUGGAGUAUGUGGAUUAAUUCGAAGCAACGCGAAGAACCUUACCAGGUCUUGACAUCGUAUGCAUAGCUCAGAGAUGAGUGAAAUCUCUUCGGAGACAUAUAGACAGGUGGUGCAUGGUUGUCGUCAGCUCGUGUCGUGAGAUGUUGGGUUAAGUCCCGCAACGAGCGCAACCCUUACUGUUAGUUGCUACGCAAGAGCACUCUAGCAGGACUGCCGUUGACAAAACGGAGGAAGGUGGGGAUGACGUCAAAUCAUCAUGCCCCUUAUGACCUGGGCCUCACACGUACUACAAUGGCUGUAAACAGAGGGAUGCAAAGCCGCGAGGUGGAGCGAACCCCUAAAAGCAGUCUUAGUUCGGAUUGUAGGCUGCAACCCGCCUACAUGAAGUCGGAAUUGCUAGUAAUCGCAGAUCAGCAUGCUGCGGUGAAUACGUUCCCGGGCCUUGUACACACCGCCCGUCACGCCAUGGGAGUCGGUAACACCCGAAGCCUGUAGUCUAACCGCAAGGAGGACGCAGUCGAAGGUGGGAUUGGUGACUGGGGUG
rnacentral:rRNA from 1 species